rnacentral:rRNA from 1 species
CAGUAGCCGCGGGAAUACGUAGGGGGCAAGCGUUAUCCGGAAUUAUUGGGCGUAAAGAGUGCGUAGGUGGUCUACUAAGCGCGAGGUGAAAGGCAAUGGCUCAACCAUUGUUAGCCUUGCGAACUGGCAGACUCGAGUGCAAGAGAGGAAAGCGGAAUUCCCAGUGUAGCGGUGAAAUGCGCAGAUAUUAGGAGGAACACCGGCGGCGAAGGCGGCUUUCUGGAUUGUAACUGACACUGAGGCGCGAAAGCGUGGGUAGCAAACAGGAUUAGAUACCCCAGUAGUCCCUGUCUCUUAUACA